UACAGAGGUGGCAAGCGUUGUUCGGAAUUACUGGGCGUAAAGGGCGCGUAGGCGGCCUGCUAAGUCGGACGUGAAAUCCCUCGGCUCAACCGGGGAACUGCGUCCGAUACUGGUGGGCUCGAAUCCGGGAGAGGGAUGUGGAAUUCCAGGUGUAGCGGUGAAAUGCGUAGAUAUCUGGAGGAACACCGGUGGCGAAGGCGGCAUCCUGGACCGGUAUUGACGCUGAUGCGCGAAAGCCAGGGGAGCAAACGGG
rnacentral:rRNA from 1 species